UUUCUUUACUACCUCUAUAACAGUUAUUUUAUUAAUAUUACUCUUUAAAAUAAAUGCAAUUGAAAAAAUUAAGGAGUGGUUAUAGACGUGAUCUGCCGUGCUCAGCGCCCCAAAAUUGGGGCGGUGAAAAUGUCCAAAACGGCAUAUUUUUUUUUAUUUAAUUUUCAGAAUACCUUUAUUUUUAUGCUUAUUGGACUUAGAAUAUAACGAAAAAAAUAUCAGUUUUUACGAAAAAAAAAGUUGAGCACAUAUGGGUUAAUAAAUUUAGCCACCCCCUCUCUUCCCGUGGGUGUCGUAAGA
rnacentral:misc_RNA from 1 species